rnacentral:rRNA from 1 species
GACGUAGGGGGCCAGCGUUGUUCGGAAUUACUGGGUGUAAAGGGUUCGUAGGCGGUGUGGCAAGUCGGGAGUGAAAACUCUGGGCUCAACCCAGAGUCUGCUUCCGAAACUGCUGUGCUUGAGUGUGGGAGAGGCGCGUGGAAUUGCAGGUGUAGCGGUGAAAUGCGUAGAUAUCUGCAGGAACACCCGUGGCGAAAGCGGCGCGCUGGACCACUACUGACGCUGAGGAACGAAAGCCAGGGGAGCAAACGGG